rnacentral:rRNA from 1 species
AGUCAUAUGCUUGUCUCAAAGAUUAAGCCAUGCAUGUCUCAGUACAAGCCAAAUUAAGGUGAAACCGCGAAAGGCUCAUUAAAUCAGUUAUGGUUCCUUAGAUCGUACCCACAAUUACUUGGAUAACUGUGGUAAUUCUAGAGCUAAUACAUGCAAAUAGAGCUCCGACCAGAGAUGGAAGGAGUGCUUUUAUUAGAUCAAAACCAAUCGGUGGCGGGCUUGCUCGUCAUCGUACAACUUGGUGACUCUGAAUAACUUUACGCUGAUCGCACGGUCUUAGCGCCGGCGACGCAUCUUUCAAAUGUCUGCCUUAUCAACUGUCGAUGGUAGGUUCUGCGCCUACCAUGGUCGUAACGGGUAACGGGGAAUCAGGGUUCGAUUCCGGAGAGGGAGCCUGAGAAACGGCUACCACAUCCAAGGAAGGCAGCAGGCGCGCAAAUUACCCACUCCCGGCACGGGGAGGUAGUGACRAAAAAUAACGAUACGGGACUCAUCCGAGGCCCCGUAAUCGGAAUGAGUACACUCUAAACCCUUUAACAAGGA